rnacentral:rRNA from 1 species
GACGAACGCUGUCGGCGUGCUUAACACAUGCAAGUCGAACGGAAAGGCCCUGCUUUUGUGGGGUGCUCGAGUGGCGAACGGGUGAGUAACACGUUAGUAACCUGCCCUUGACUUUGGGAUAACUUCAGGCAACUGGGGCUAAUACCGGCUAGGAGCUCCUUCUGCAUGUUGGGUGUUGGAAAGUUUCGGCGGUUGGGGAUGGACUCGCGGCUUAUCAGCUUGUUGGUGGGGUAGUGGCUUACCAAGGCUUUGACGGGUAGCCGGCCUGAGAGGGUGACCGGACACAGUGGGACUGAGAUACGGCCCAGACUCCGACGGGAGGCAGCAGUGGGGAAUAUUGCACAAUGGGCGGAAGCCUGAUGCAGCAACGCCGCGUGCGGGAUGACGGCCUUCGGGUUGUAAACCGCUUUCGCCUGUGACGAAGCGUGAGUGACGGUAAUGGGUAAAGAAGCACCGGAUAACUACGUG